GCUGAGUUCACAUUCCCUUUGUUGGGUCUUUGUUCCACCUUAGGAAGAGUAGAACCAAUAGAAUGGUGGCUAUAUAUUAGGGGUAUACCCAAUGAUAUGAUCCAUAUGGUUAUGCUACACAAAAUCGUGGGUGUUGAUAUUUGGUAACGCAAUUAGAAAAUGAUCCGCAAGCGCACGGAUAUCGGUGAGCAUUUCACCUGGGAGGUUAUCCAGAGUUAUCGUAUUUAUAUUUUUACCACUGGGAGAAAGGGUGCAUC
rnacentral:lncRNA from 1 species